rnacentral:rRNA from 1 species
CCGGCGAUGUCCGAAUGGGGAAACCCAGUGCAAUUCGUUGCACUAUCGUUAACUGAAUACAUAGGUUAACGAGGCGAACCGGGGGAACUGAAACAUCUAAGUACCCCGAGGAAAAGAAAUCAACCGAGAUUCCCCCAGUAGCGGCGAGCGAACGGGGAGCAGCCCAGAGUCUGAAUCAGCUUGUGUGUUAGUGGAACGGUCUGGAAAGUCCGACGGUACAGGGUGAUAGUCCCGUACACCAAAAUGCACAGGCUGUGAACUCGAAGAGUAGGGCGGGACACGUGGUAUCCUGUCUGAAUAUGGGGGGACCAUCCUCCAAGGCUAAAUACUCCUGACUGACCGAUAGUGAACCAGUACCGUGAGGGAAAGGCGAAAAGAACCCCGGCGAGGGGAGUGAAAAAGAACCUGAAACCGUGUACGUACAAGCAGUGGGAGCACCUUCGGGUGUGACUGCGUACCUUUUGUAUAAUGGGUCAGCGACUUAUAUUCUGUAGCAAGGUUAACCGUAUAGGGGAGCCGCAGGGAAACCGAGUCUUAACUGGGCGUUAAGUUGCAGGGUAUAGACCCGAAACCCGGUGAUCUAGCCAUGGGCAGGUUGAAGGUUGGGUAACACUAACUGGAGGACCGAACCGACUAAUGUUGAAAAAUUAGCGGAUGACUUGUGGCUGGGGGUGAAAGGCCAAUCAAACCGGGAGAUAGCUGGUUCUCCCCGAAAGCUAUUUAGGUAGCGCCUCGUGAACUCAUCUUCGGGGGUAGAGCACUGUUUCGGCUAGGGGGUCAUCCCGACUUACCAACCCGAUGCAAACUACGAAUACCGAAGAAUGUUAUCACGGGAGACACACGGCGGGUGCUAACGUCCGUCGUGAAGAGGGAAACAACCCAGACCGCCAGCUAAGGUCCCAAAGUCAUGGUUAAGUGGGAAACGAUGUGGGAAGGCACAGACAGCCAGGAUGUUGGCUUAGAAGCAGCCAUCAUUUAAAGAAAGCGUAAUAGCUCACUGGUCGAGUCGGCCUGCGCGGAAGAUGUAACGGGGCUAAACCAUGCACCGAAGCUGCGGCAGCGACACUAUGUGUUGUUGGGUAGGGGAGCGUUCUGUAAGCCUGCGAAGGUGACCUGUGAGGGUUGCUGGAGGUAUCAGAAGUGCGAAUGCUGACAUAAGUAACGAUAAAGCGGGUGAAAAGCCCGCUCGCCGGAAGACCAAGGGUUCCUGUCCAACGUUAAUCGGGGCAGGGUGAGUCGACCCCUAAGGCGAGGCCGAAAGGCGUAGUCGAUGGGAAACAGGUUAAUAUUCCUGUACUUGGUGUUACUGCGAAGGGGGGACGGAGAAGGCUAUGUUAGCCGGGCGACGGUUGUCCCGGUUUAAGCAUGUAGGCUGGUUGUCCAGGCAAAUCCGGAUAAUCAAGGCUGAGGUGUGAUGACGAGGCACUACGGUGCUGAAGUAACAAAUGCCCUGCUUCCAGGAAAAGCCUCUAAGCAUCAGGUAACAUUAAAUCGUACCCCAAACCGACACAGGUGGUCAGGUAGAGAAUACCAAGGCGCUUGAGAGAACUCGGGUGAAGGAACUAGGCAAAAUGGUGCCGUAACUUCGGGAGAAGGCACGCUGGUGUGUAGGUGAAGUCCCUGCGGAUGGAGCUGAGACCAGUCGAAGAUACCAGCUGGCUGCAACUGUUUAUUAAAAACACAGCACUGUGCAAACACGAAAGUGGACGUAUACGGUGUGACGCCUGCCCGGUGCCGGAAGGUUAAUUGAUGGGGUUAUCCGUAAGGAGAAGCUCUUGAUCGAAGCCCCGGUAAACGGCGGCCGUAACUAUAACGGUCCUAAGGUAGCGAAAUUCCUUGUCGGGUAAGUUCCGACCUGCACGAAUGGCGUAAUGAUGGCCAGGCUGUCUCCACCCGAGACUCAGUGAAAUUGAACUCGCUGUGAAGAUGCAGUGUACCCGCGGCAAGACGGAAAGACCCCGUGAACCUUUACUAUAGCUUGACACUGAACAUUGAGCCUUGAUGUGUAGGAUAGGUGGGAGGCUUUGAAGCGUGGACGCCAGUCUGCGUGGAGCCAACCUUGAAAUACCACCCUUUAAUGUUUGAUGUUCUAACGUUGGCCCCUUACCGGGGUUGCGGACAGUGUCUGGUGGGUAGUUUGACUGGGGCGGUCUCCUCCCAAAGCGUAACGGAGGAGCACGAAGGUUAGCUAAUCCUGGUCGGACAUCAGGAGGUUAGUGCAAUGGCAUAAGCUAGCUUGACUGCGAGCGUGACGGCGCGAGCAGGUGCGAAAGCAGGUCAUAGUGAUCCGGUGGUUCUGAAUGGAAGGGCCAUCGCUCAACGGAUAAAAGGUACUCCGGGGAUAACAGGCUGAUACCGCCCAAGAGUUCAUAUCGACGGCGGUGUUUGGCACCUCGAUGUCGGCUCAUCACAUCCUGGGGCUGAAGUAGGUCCCAAGGGUAUGGCUGUUCGCCAUUUAAAGUGGUACGCGAGCUGGGUUUAGAACGUCGUGAGACAGUUCGGUCCCUAUCUGCCGUGGGCGCUGGAGAAUUGAGGGGGGCUGCUCCUAGUACGAGAGGACCGGAGUGGACGCAUCACUGGUGUUCGGGUUGUCAUGCCAAUGGCACUGCCCGGUAGCUAAAUGCGGAAGAGAUAAGUGCUGAAAGCAUCUAAGCACGAAACUUGCCCCGAGAUGAGUUCUCCCUGAGACUUUAAGUCUCCUGAAGGAACGUUAAAGACGAUGACGUUGAUAGGCCGGGUGUGUAAGCGCAGCGAUGCGUUGAGCUAACCGGUACUAAUGAACCGUGAGGCUUAACCUU